AUGAACGCUGGCGGCGUGCCUAAUCCAUGCACGUCGCGCGAACAGACGAGGAGCUUGCUCCUCUGACGUUAGCGGCGGACGGGUGAGUAACACGUGGAUAACCUACCUAUAAGACUGGGAUAACUUCGGGAAACCGGAGCUAAUACCGGAUAAUAUAUUGAACCGCAUGGUUCAAUAGUGAAAGACGGUUUUGCUGUCACUUAUAGAUGGAUCCGCGCCGCAUUAGCUAGUUGGUAAGGUAACGGCUUACCAAGGCAACGAUGCGUAGCCGACCUGAGAGGGUGAUCGGCCACACUGGAACUGAGACACGGUCCAGACUCCUACGGGAGGCAGGAGUAGGGAAUCUUCCGCAAUGGGCGAAAGCCUGACGGAGCAACGCCGCGUGAGUGAUGAAGGUCUUCGGAUCGUAAAACUCUGUUAUUAGGGAAGAACAAAUGUGUAAGUAACUAUGCACGUCUUGACGGUACCUAAUCAGAAAGCCACGGCUAACUACGUG
rnacentral:rRNA from 1 species